CGGCCAGACUCCUACGGGAGGCAGCAGUGGGGGAUAUUGCACAAUGGGGGGAACCCUGAUGCAGCGACGCCGCGUGGGUGAAGGAGCGUUUCGGCGCGGAAAGCCCUAUCGGCAGGGAAGAAGGAGGACGGUACCUGACUAAGAAGCCCCGGCUAACUACGUGCCAGCAGCCGCGGUAAUACGUAGGGGGCAAGCGUUAUCCGGAAUUACUGGGUGUAAAGGGAGCGCAGACGGCAGUGCAAGUCUGGAGUGAAAGCCCGUGGCUUAACCACGGGACUGCUCUGGAAACUGUGCAGCUAGAGUGCAGGAGAGGCAGGCAGAAUUCCUAGUGUAGCGGUGAAAUGCGUAGAUAUUAGGAGGAACACCGGUGGCGAAGGCGGCUUACUGGACUGUAACUGACGUUGAGGCUCGAAAGCGUGGGGAGCAAACAGGAUUAGAUACCCCCGUAA
rnacentral:rRNA from 1 species